AAACGCGGAGUAGGGCGGGUCUUGCGUCGCCGAAUUGACUUUACGCCCCGAACUCUUCCUUAGCCUUGGGAAAUCUGUGAAUUGAGGCUAAAACAGGAAUAAAAUACGUAGAGUUUGUUGUGAGGAUGACUGAGGAACAUUAUCUAGAACUCUGUGAGAACCCGGUGCAGUUUGAACAUGCCUCCAGUGUCAAUAACGUCUUCUUCGACGAGGCUAAUAAGCAGGUGUUCGCGGUGCGUUCAGGUGGAGCCACAGGGGUGGUGGUCAAAGGCCCGGACGACAAGAGCAGUGUUGCCUUCAGAAUGGACGAUAAAGGAGAAGUGAAGUGUAUCAAGUUCUCCAUCGGAAAUAAGAUCUUGGCAGUUCAGAGGACUUUAAAAUCUGUGGAUUUCAUCAACUUCAUCCCCGACUAUCCACACACAGAGUUCACUCAGGAAUGCAAGACGAAGAACGCUAAUGUUUUGGGUUUCUGUUGGACCACCUGGAACGAGAUCGUCUUCAUCACCGACCAGGGGAUUGAGUUCUACCAGGUGUUUCCAGACAAACGAAGCCUGAAGCUGCUGAAGAGUCAGAACAUUAACGUGAACUGGUACCAGUACUGUCCGGAGACCGCCGUCAUCCUGCUCUCCACCACCGUGCAGGGAAACAUCCUGCAGCCCUUCGCCUUCAGGAAUGGGACCGUGUCCAAGAUGUCCAAGUUUGAGAUCGAGCUGCCUGUUGUACCCAAACCCGCCAAACUCAGCCUGUCGGAAAGAGACAUCGCCAUGGCAACCAUUUAUGGUCAGCUGUUUGUCAUGUAUCUGAAGCAUCACUCCAGAACAGCCAACAGUCCCAGUGCAGAGGUAGUGCUGUAUCAUUUACCAAGGGAGGGUGCGUGUAAGAAGAGUCACGUGUUGAAGCUGAACACGACUGGAAAAUUUGCUCUGAACAUCGUUGACAACCUGGUGGUGGUUCACCAUCAGAGCACACAGACGUCUCUGAUCUUCGACAUCAAGCUAAAGGAGCCGGAUUGUGCCGUCAACACACACCAACCUGUCCUCCCCGCUCGCUCCAUACACCCCUACAGGAUACCACUGUCAGGUCCGGCUGUGGUUCCCUCUCAGCCUCCUGUUCCCUGUCAGCUCUACUCUUCCUCCUGGAGCGUCUUCCAGCCUGAAAUCAUCAUCAGUGCCAGUGAAGGGUAUUUGUGGUAUUUGCAGGUGAAGUUGCCUCCAACAGUCAACCUCCUGCAGGACAAAGGCAAAUUGAUGGACUUCCUGUUACGACGGCGAGACUGCAAGAUGGUCAUCCUGUCCGUCUGCUCUCAGAUUCUGGAGGGCGGGGAGAAGGGAAGUCUUCCUGUUGUGGCGACUGUGUUCGACAAACUGAACCAGGUGUAUAAGGAGUACCUGGAGGCGGAGCAGACCUACACUGCGGCGAUGGAGUCCGGUCCGAGUCGAGGAAACUCUGCGCAGAAACGUCCGGUCAGAACUCAGGCGGUCAUCGACCAAUCAGACAUGUACACACACGUCCUGUCCAACUUCACAGAGAGGAAGGGAGUCUCUCAUAAAUUCAUCAUCGCCGUGCUGAUGGAGUACAUCCGCUCUCUGAACCAGUUUCAGAUCACCGUUCAGCAUUACCUGUAUGAGCUGGUGAUCAAGACGUUGGUGCAGCACAACCUCUUCUACAUGCUGCAUCAGUUCCUGCAGUAUCACGUCCUCAGUGACUCCAAACCUCUGGCUUGUUUGCUUCUAUCACUGGAGAGUACGUAUCCUCCUGCUCACCAGCUCUCUCUGGACAUGUUGAAGCGUCUCUCCACAGCCAACGACGAGAUCGUUGAAGUUCUGCUGUCAAAGCAGCAGGUUCUGGGCGCGCUCAGAUUCAUCCGCAGCGUCGGUGGCCAUGACAAUGUUUCGGCCAGGAAGUUUCUGGACGCAGCGCGGCAGACCGAGGACCAGAUGUUGUUCUAUACCGUGUUCAGGUCGUUCCAGCAGAGGAACCAACGGCUGAGAGGAAGUCCAGGCUUCAACCCGGGAGAGCACUGUGAGGAGCACGUGGUUCACUUUAAGCAGCUGUUUGGGGAUCAGGCCCUGAUGAAACCCUCCACAGUGUGAACACAUGACACAAAAACACACAAACAGAGACUGUAAACUGGAUCACAUCAGACUGAACAGAAGUUCAGGAGAUGAACCAACAUGUGGAACAGAUCUGAAUACUUUGUACAUAUGACAUAAUUAAGGCUAACACUUUAUUUAAUGUUUUCUUUUGUAAAUAAUAAUUAAUAAUGUACUAAACUAAAUUGUUUCAAAUGAUCAUAGAAACAUGAGUAAAUGCUCUGUUUAAAAGAUAUAGUGUGAUUACAUUUUAAAUGUUGAUGUUUAAGCGGCCUUCUGUACAGAUAAUAAAAACUACAUGUGUGUAAAAAAAAAAAAA